CAGGUUAUUGUGAUGGCUGAAGGGGAAAAUAUUGAGCUUAAAUUUCGCAUAUAUGAUGGAACUGAUAUAGCACAAAAUUUCUAUUCAUCAUCAACAACCAUUGCUACCCUCAAGCAAAAGCUAAUUGCUGAGUGGCCUCAAGGUAAAACAAUUACACCAAAGGUAGUAAGUGACCUAAAACUCAUACAUGCCGGUAAAAUUUUGGAAAACAACAAAACUCUGGCUGAUUCCAGAAUAACAUUCAGUGACAUCCCUGGAGGUUUUGUUAACAUGCAUGUUGUAGUACAACCUCGAACGACUAAAAAGAAAACAGAAAAGAACCAUGAGGAGAAACAAAAGACAAAUUCAUGUUCAUGCAC
rnacentral:sRNA from 1 species